GUGUCAGCCGCCGCGGUAAGACGAACCGUGCGAACGUUAUUCGGAAUCACUGGGCUUAAAGGGCGCGUAGGCGGGCCUGAAAGUCAGGGGUGAAAGCCCCCAGCUCAACUGGGGAAGUGCCUCUGAUACUUCAGGCCUCGAGGGAGGUAGGGGCGUGCGGAACUUCCGGUGGAGCGGUGAAAUGCGUAGAUAUCGGAAGGAACGUCGGUGGCGAAAGCGGCGCGCUGGACCUCUUCUGACGCUGAGGCGCGAAAGCCAGGGGAGCGAACGGGAUUAGAUACCCCGGUAGUCC
rnacentral:rRNA from 1 species